UGGGGGAUAUUGCACAAUGGGCGAAAGCCUGAUGCAGCGACGCCGCGUGGGGGAUGAAGGCCUUCGGGUUGUAAACUUCUUUUGCUCUGAACAAGGCAUGCUAAUGGGUGUGUUGAGUGUAGGGGUUGAUUAGCGCCGGCUAACUACGUGCCAGCAGCCGCGGUAAUACGUAGGGCGCGAGCGUUGUCCGGAAUUAUUGAGCGUAAAGGGCUUGUAGGUGGCUGGUUGCGUCUGUCGUGAAAGCUCAUGGCUUAACUGUGGGUUUGCGGUGGGUACGGGCUGGCUUGAGUGCAGUAGGGGAGGCUGGAAUUCCUGGUGUAGCGGUGGAAUGCGCAGAUAUCAGGAGGAAUACCGGUGGCGAAGGCGGGUCUCUGGGCUGUUACUGACACUGAGGAGCGAAAGCAUGGGGAGCGAACAGG
rnacentral:rRNA from 1 species